CGGGAUGUAGCUCAGCCUGGCUAGAGCGCCUGCUUUGGGAGCUGGAGGUCGCAGGUUCGAAUCCUGUCAUCCCGA
rnacentral:tRNA from 1 species